GUCCUAGCUGUAAACGAUGGAUACUAGAUGUUGUGUAUUUUUAAAUAUACGGUGUCGUAGCUAACGCGUUAAGUAUCCCGCCUGGGAAGUAUGCUCGCAAGAGUGAAAACUAAAAGGAAUUGACGGGGGCCCGCACAAGCGGUGGAGCAUGUGGUUUAAUUCGAUGCAACACGAAGAACCUUACCAGGACUUGACAUGAAGAGAAGUUUUUUGAAAGAAGAAUGUGCUACGGCCUCUUACACAGGUGGUGCAUGGCUGUCGU
rnacentral:rRNA from 1 species